rnacentral:rRNA from 1 species
UACGUAGGGUGCAAGCGUUGUCCGGAAUUAUUGGGCGUAAAGAGCUCGUAGGCGGUCUGUUGCGUCGGCUGUGAAAACCCGGGGCUCAACCCCGGGCCUGCAGCCGAUACGGGCAGACUAGAGUUCGGCAGGGGAGACUGGAAUUCCUGGUGUAGCGGUGAAAUGCGCAGAUAUCAGGAGGAACACCGAUGGCGAAGGCAGUGGUCUGGGCCGAUACUGACGCUGAGGAGCGAAAGCGUGGGGAGCGAACAGG